GAUGAACGCUGGCGGCGUGCCUAAUACAUGCAAGUCGAGCGAACGGACGAGAAGCUUGCUCCUCUGAUGUUAGCGGCGGACGGGUGAGUAACACGUGGAUAACCUACCUAUAAGACUGGGAUAACUUCGGGAAACCGGAGCUAAUACCGGAUAAUAUUUUGAACCGCAUGGUUCGAUAGUGAAAGACGGUCUUGCUGUCACUUAUAGAUGGAUCCGCGCUGCAUUAGCUAGUUGGUAAGGUAACGGCUUACCAAGGCAACGAUGCAUAGCCGACCUGAGAGGGUGAUCGGCCACACUGGAACUGAGACACGGUCCAGACUCCUACGGGAGGCAGCAGUAGGGAAUCUUCCGCAAAGGGCGAAAGCCUGACGGAGCAACGCCGCGUGAGUGAUGAAGGUCUUCGGAUCGUAAAACUCUGUUAUUAGGGAAGAACAUAUGUGUAAGUAACUGUGCACAUCUUGACGGUACCUAAUCAGAAAGCCACGGCUAACUACGUG
rnacentral:rRNA from 1 species